rnacentral:lncRNA from 1 species
AAGGAAUCCCAUGCAUAAUUUACAUCUCUUUAUGCUUAUAAAGUGCCUUGCUUUGAGGCCACUUAGAAAGGUGUCAAACACAUCUAAAUAAUUAUCCUUAACUUUGUUACUUCAUUUUUCUCUUGUGCCAUUAGAGUUGCUAAUCAUGUCUGAAAGUGUUAAAGGGGGACUCUUGGGUGUGGGGAAGGGGCAGAGAUAGAGAAGGAAACCAAGCUUCAAUAGGGACAGGUUUGACCUAGAUUCCCAGCUGCCCAUUCUUUGAAUAUCACAAGUCAAUUAAAUGUGGAGGGGGAAGGGAGUUAAACUUCCAGAGGCAUUACAUUAAUUCAUCCCACUACCUUGACUGUCCUUCUUUCCCAGACUAAAUCACCAAAGUCCAAGUUGGUUGUGGACAGGCCACCUUCAGAUGUGCACAUGAGAUUAGCUUCCAGCCUAUCUGCCUUUAUUCUUCCUUGAGAGGAAGCUAAUUUAUUCUGCCACACGCUUCAGAAAUGCUUAACCUUGUUAUUUGAUAGCCAUGUGUUUCAGAGCUGAGGUAGGAGGAGCUGUUUAAACUCCUUUUUUGCCGAGAGAUGGAAUGUUAGAACUGAAAGGUUCUGUGACAGUUGGGGAUGACAGUUGUGGGAAGAAUCAGCUAACUGGAGGCAAAAGUGCCCAGGCCAGAGAGUUCUCGGAGCUGCUUCAGAAUGGCAUCCAAUGCUAGUUCAGGAUGACAAGUGAUGGCCCAGGAUGAUGUGGAUGACUUUGGCAUAUUUGAUGUGUGACUAGACUCUAGCUGCCCCAAAGUACCUGCUUCAACCACCUUCAUGACUGUUGGAACAAAUUGUGCUCAUCUGACUUUUCCUCUAUGAGAAGCCUCCACAUGCUUGGAGUAGCUAUCCACUCAAGUCACUGACUUAAGGCCUGUCAGUUGCCCUCAACCUGGCUAAACCAGGUCCACCUAGAGAGUUUUACUGGGGUGUGGCUGCUAUGCCUGCUACAGUUUCUUAGAGCCACAGGCAAGAAUUGGGUGAAAGAUAGAUACCAAAGGUGGAAGAGUAGCCCUGAAAAGAUAAGACCUCAGCAAGUCUUCAUGCCAGAGGCUAGUCUUCCCUGAACACUCCAUACCCUCCAAGGAAUUACACUAGAGGAGAUAUACCUCCCCUUAUAGCUCUAAAACAAUAACCAUGUGAAUUCUUUGUAGAAGUGAAACCAUUAAAGACAGAAGCCCCAAAGGAAUAAAAAUGUUUUGCAAAAAUGUGCCCUCA